rnacentral:lncRNA from 1 species
AGUGUUGGAAGUAUGUGUAGUCAUUUAUCCUCAAACAUCAGCGCUACCGUACCACUGAAAUAGUCCUGACUCAUCCUCAUCUGCCCAUACUUCACCGCAGUAGCCUACAGGACGAUACACCAAUGAAUUGACGCCUGCAGAUACUUAAAAGGCGGUAAAAAGAUUUGUGUGUCAGGAAGGCCCAGUGAAGUGAUAAGGCAGUUGGCUGUGGCGGGCUGGCGGCGGCCAUGAUGACGUCAUCGGUGGGUCCCGCCCUGCCCGGCGAGUUCGUAUUAUUCACAUUUCUCAGCUCACUUAUUUCGCCUCAUAAUCACUCCAAGGUUUGCCAUUGUCCCAACCCACACACGUGUGCCGCAGCCUGCCGCAGUCCUAACAUGGGCUCGGGGUGGUACAACUGCCUCUUGAGCCGUUGCCUCCGCUGUCGCAGGAACAGUAUAGGUAAGAAUUAGCUAAUAGGUG